UCCGCCUAGCUCAACGGUUAGAGCGUCAGACUCUUAAUCUGAAGGUAGCGAGUUCGAUUCGUGCUCGGGGAA